rnacentral:lncRNA from 1 species
AAUACUUCCAUCUAAACUCCACUGGAUCUCUGAAUGCCGAGACGCUAUCCCAACUUGCAACACCUCGGUGCGGUAAUCCAGAUAUCCUUAAUGAAGCCACUGGUCGAAUGCUAUUAGAAAACAACAACAACGAUAGUAGUCACGAUCACUACCACCAACUCUCCCAUGCUGUACCACACUACAGUUUCUUCCCAGGAAGGCCUAGGUGGCCACCUACCAAAUAUCACUUAACAUAUGAGUUUCUUCCCAACACUCAUGCAGACGCAAAAGCACCGGUGACACGAGCGUUCGCAACAUGGGCUCG